rnacentral:rRNA from 1 species
AUACAUACAACAACGGAUCUCUUGGCUCUCGCAUCGAUGAAGAACGCAUCGAAAUGCGAUAAGUAAUGUGAAUUGCAGAAUUCAGUGAAUCAUCGAAUCUUUGAACGCACAUUGCGCCCAAAGGCAAUAUCCAGGGCAUGCCUGUUCGAGCGUCACUA